AUGGCUUCCUACGACGGCGAGGACGACUCCGGCCGGCGGCGCCCGCCGCAGCAGCAGCACCGCCCGUCCGGCGGGGGCAGCGGCGACCUCGCCGCGAGCGCCAAGCUGGUGGCGGAGGCGGCCAAGGCGGCGCUCCAGGACCACAACCUGGGGAAGGUCGACAAGGGCCGCACCGCUGAGGCUGCCGCCGACCUGCUCCACGCGGCCUCCCUCUACGGCAAGCUCGAGGGCAAGCCCGUCGGCGGCUACCUCAACAAGGCCGAGGACUACCUCCACAAGUUCGGCGCCAAGGAGGGGGGCGGCGGAGGCGGUAAGCAUCAGACCAGUGGUCACGGGGGUUCAGGCGGCAGGUACGAGGAGGAGGACGAGUACAGGAAGAAGCCUACUAGUGGUGGUGGGAGGUACGAACAGGAUGAUGAGUACAAGAAGAAGCCCAGUGGUGGUGGGAGGUAUGAAGAGGAUGACGAGUACAGGAAGAAGCCUACUAGCGGUGGUGGCGGCUACGGAGGUGGAAGGUAUGAAGAAGAGGACUACAAGAAGAAGCCUAGUGGUGGAGGAAGGUACGAAGAAGAUGACUACAAGAAGAAACCUAGUGGUGGAGGAAGGUAUGAAGAAGAUGACUACAAGAAGAAGCCUAGUGGUGGAAGCCAUGGAGGGAAGGAUGAGUCAGAAGGCGGUGGCAUUGGAGACUACAUUAAACUUGCACAGGGUUUCAUGAAGAAGCAGGAUGGCGAAGGUGGGCACAAGAAGACUAGUGGCCAUGGAGGAGGAGGGUAUGGAAAGGAGGAAAAUGAAGAGGAUAGCGGCAAGAAGAAACAUGGUGGCCGCCCUGAGAGUGGAAAAGACGAGUCGGAGGGCAGUGGCAUGGCAGACUACCUGAAACUUGCACAGGGUUUCAUGAAGAAGGAUGGUGAAGGGGGAAGUGGAGCUGGUAUGGGGGACUACUUAAAGCUUGCAGAGGGGUUCAUGAAGAAGCGUUGA
rnacentral:rRNA from 1 species